UACGAAGGGAGCUAGCGUUGUUCGGAAUCACUGGGCGUAAAGCGUGCGCAGGCGGCUUUCCAAGUCAGAGGUGAAAUCCCUCGGCUUAACCGAGGAACUGCCCUCCAAACUGCUUGGCUUGAGACCGGGAGAGGUGAGUGGAAUUCCCAGUGUAGCGGUGAAAUGCGUAGAUAUUGGGAGGAACACCAGUGGCGAAGGCGGCUCACUGGACCGGUACUGACGCUGAGGCGCGAAAGCGUGGGGAGCAAACGGG
rnacentral:rRNA from 1 species